CUGAUCAGCCACUUGAGGGAG
rnacentral:miRNA from 1 species